rnacentral:rRNA from 1 species
AUUGAACGCUGGCGGCAUGCUUUACACAUGCAAGUCGAACGGUAACAGCACUUCGGUGGCUGACGAGUGGCGAACGGGUGAGUAAUACAUCGGUACGUGCCUAGUAGUGGGGGAUAACUACUCGAAAGAGUAGCUAAUACCGCAUGAGAUCUAAGGAUGAAAGCAGGGGACCUUCGGGCCUUGCGCUACUAGAGCGGCUGAUGGCAGAUUAGGUAGUUGGUGGGAUAAAAGCUUACCAAGCCGACGAUCUGUAGCUGGUCUGAGAGGACGACCAGCCACACUGGGACUGAGACACGGCCCAGACUCCUACGGGAGGCAGCAGUGGGGAAUUUUGGACAAUGGGCGCAAGCCUGAUCCAGCAAUGCCGCGUGCAGGAUGAAGGCCUUCGGGUUGUAAACUGCUUUUGUACGGAACGAAAAGCCCUCUUCUAAUACAGGAGGGUCAUGACGGUACCGUAAGAAUAAGCACCGGCUAACUACGUG